GAUGAAGAACGUAGCGAAAUGCGAUACGUAGUGUGAAUUGCAGAAUUCAGUGAAUCAUCGAAUCUUUGAACGCACAUUGCACCUCUCGGUAUUCCGGGAGGUAUGCCUGUUCGAGCGUCAUUUGUACCCUCAAGCUCUGCUUGGUGUUGGGUGUUUGUUCCGCCUCUGUGUGUGAACUCGCCUCAAAACAAUUGGCAGCCGGCGUAUUGAUUUCGGAGCGCAGUACAUCUCGCGCUUUGCACUCAUAACGACAGCGUCCAAAAGUACAUUUUACACUCUUGACCUCGGAUCAGGUAGGGAUACCCGCUGAACUUAAGCAUAUCAAUAAGCGGAGGA
rnacentral:misc_RNA from 1 species